AAAUGAUUAAAUAUGGCCGCGUGCGGUAAACUCUCUGGCCUCUUUUGCUUCACUGCUCGCUUCAUGCACACAUGGUUUUACUCUGAUACGCCCCUUAUAGCCUGCAUGUAGCACCUUGGCCGGCUCACGAGAUACUUUGUUAAAAAAAAAAAGCAAAAAAAAUAGCUGAAAGAUGUGACAACUCUUGUUCUCUACCCAAGAAGAAGCGUGCUAGGCAUGGUUUUCGGUACCAAAUGGAGCUGAAUUUCGAUACUCAAGAUGCAAAGCAGGCUUUUGUAGCUAGGAUAGAUAGGGCAAAGCGUUCUCUUGCUGCUACAGCUAGAGGCUCAUUGCCCUUGGACAGCAGAGAGCUUAUUUCUGUCCUGUUGGACAAGUUGGAGCAGGAGCAGGCAGGUGCUGUUCCUGAGAGAGAAGACCUACAAUCUGAUAAAUCCAAAGUCUUCCCAAUGUUGGAGAAUUCAGGAAUAUUUACUGGCAAUACUGACGCUAGUGAUAAUUUUUGUGUGAACUGAAGACUUUGCUCCGCUCAGUAACAUAAAAAUAUUCGUCGAUAGAUAAAAGUACGAAAGUUCACUUGUACUACUGUAUGAAGAACUGUGAGCAGUCAGCAUACAAUCUAAGAAAGAACAUUCCGAAUAUCGUUAAACAUUAUCAGAACGAGCACUCAGAUUGUAACGAAGCGUCACCCUGUAAGCGUCCAGGGUACAAGCCCACGAACAUAAAACUAGAGGAUCCUCUUGCAAUCGAGUCAUUCAUGUCAGCACUAAAAGACACCCUUAUUUACAAGAAUGCCGAAUCAUAUUGUUGAUGUCGAGACACAUUCUGGGUGGAGUCUUUCAAUCACCAGCUGCUCACAUACAUCUCAAAACGUGUACACUUCGGGGCAGCUACAUUCAACAUGAGAAUGAACCUUGCUAUUAUGGACUGGAACGAGAAUGUACGUAGAGAGUGUACAAGUGAACGACUGGUUCAGGACAUGAGAAGACUGGAUCGUAGGACUCCCGUGAGAGUGCUGGUGGAAAAAUCGUUCAACUUUGCCGGAGAAAUAUAUGGGAGAAUUACGAGCAGCAGAGAAAAGUUGACCUCAGUGAGUUUGUAGAGGACGUGCAACCUGAGCAAUCAGAUGAGCCAGUAGAUGAAAACGAGGACCUAGUAAAUGAUGGUGUGCAUGUACUUGACGAAGAUCUUUAUGAAGACAUAUAAAAAGUAGAAGACUGGAAGUCUGUGUAUGGAACUCCAUCUGGAUUCGGAAAUCUUUCACGCACCUCCUGGAAAAGGUGCAGCGCUUCCAAUCAGCCAGCUGGGUGGUCUGGCUCUGACACACGGUGACAGGUGGCAGUACGGGCAGGGACCCUCUCCGUUCAAGACCGGAGGAUUAUCGUGAUCAUACCCUCCGGGACCUAGGGAAAGUACCACUAAGUGAUCGUUAUCCAUAUCACGUGAUAUUAAUUCCUCUAGAAUUACCUCUCUUUGGCCUCUUCGCUGGAGGGGGAGCAGCUUCACCACUGGCACUGGAUGUAUUACACCUGCCUGACACUGAUGUGUUACCUUCAGAUGGCGCCGAAUCAAUUUCAUCAAGAGUGACGUCGGGGAACAGCGCAAGCAACUUCUGGAACUCCUCCAGAAAGUGCACUGGAGGAUGCUGGCUGUACCGUACCUGAAGCUGAAUAGAUGUACAUUUUAUCUUCUUUCUUAUUUAUGUAAUGGCCUUCUGUGGUACCUUGAGUCUUGCUUGUUCAUUGUUAGUAGCCAUUAUGUGUUUUUUGUUUG